rnacentral:rRNA from 1 species
GGCGAACGGGUGAGUAACACGUGGGCAACCUGCCCCCGGCUCUGGGAUAACUCCAAGAAAUUGGGGCUAAUACCGGAUAUGACCGCUGAUCGCAUGGUCUGGUGGUGGAAAGUUUUUCGGCUGGGGAUGGGCCCGCGGCUAUCAGCUUGUUGGUGGGGUAGUGGCCUACCAAGGCGACGACGGGUAGCCGGCCUGAGAGGGUGACCGGUCACACUGGGACUGAGACACGGCCCAGACUCCUACGGGAGGCAGCAGUGGGGAAUAUUGCGCAAUGGGCGGAAGCCUGACGCAGCGACGCCGCGUGGGGGAUGACGGCCUUCGGGUUGUAAACCUCUUUCAGCAGGGACGAAGCGCAAGUGACGGUACCUGCAGAAGAAGCACCGGCCAACUACGUGCCAGCCGCCGCGG